AUUGAACGCUGGCGGCAGGCCUAACACAUGCAAGUCGAACGAGUGGCGGACGGGUGAGUAAUGUCUGGGAAACUGCCUGAUGGAGGGGGAUAACUACUGGAAACGGUAGCAAAUACCGCAUACCAUCAGAUGUGCCCAGAUGGGAUUAGCUUGUUGGUGGGGUAACGGCUCACCAAGGCGACGAGCCCUAGCUGGUCUGAGAGGAUGACGAGCCACACGGGAACUGGGACACGGGCAAGAGUCCUACGUGAGGCAGCAGUGGGGAAUAUUGCACAAUGGGCGCAAGCCUGAUGCAGCCAUGCCGCGUGUAUGAAGAAGGCCUUCGGGUUGUAAAGUACUUUCAGCGGGGAGGCGUUACCCGCAGAAGAAGCACCGGCUAACUCCGUGCCAGCAGCCGCGGUAAUUC
rnacentral:rRNA from 1 species